GACGAACGCUGGCGGCGUGCUUAACACAUGCAAGUCGAACGGAAAGGCCCUGCUUUUGUGGGGUUCUCGAUUGGCGAACGGGUGAGUAACACGUGAGUAACCUGCCCUUGACUUUGGGAUAACUUCAGGAAACUGGGGCUAAUACCGGAGAUGAUCUCCUGCUGCAUGGUGGGGGUUGGAAAGUUUCGGCUGUUGGGGAUGGACUCGCGGCUUAUCAGCUUGUUGGUGGGGUAGUGGCUUACCAAGGCUUUGACGGGUAGCCGGCCUGAGAGGGUGACCGGCCACAUUGGGACUGAGAUACGGACCAGACUCCUACGGGAGGCAGCAGUGGGGAAUAUUGCACAAUGGGCGGAAGUCUGAUGCAGCAACGCCGCGUGCGGGAUGAUGGCCUUCGGGUUGUAAACCGAUUUCGAAUGUGACGAAGAGUGAGUGACGGUAAUGGGUAAAGAAGCAACGGCUAACUACGUG
rnacentral:rRNA from 1 species